UGGCAUAUGGGAGGGCCUAAGCCCUUUGCUUCCUGUACUGACCUUGAACUUCAGCAUGAAACCUACAGUUAGAAGCACAUGCACUUUUCACGUGGAGAAAUGGACAGUCUUGUGGCUGGAUGAGGAGCGCACAGCUGUGGUUGCAAUGAACCUUCUCUAGGACAGGUGCCUGAAAGAGGAAUUGCUAGAGCAAAGACUCAUGAAAUCAGGUUGCUAGCAGCCCCCUGGCCAGGAGCUCAGCUCACCACUGAGGAGGCACUACCGAGAACGUCGCUGGAGGAGGUGAGCAGCAUUUAUUUGUUUAACGUAAAGAGUCUGCUGCAGAAGCAGUCCUGCAGCUCGUGUUGGAAGAGAGAAGAACGCUUCCCUGUGACACCAGACUCCUUCUGUGCUGCUGUUAAUUGUCAUUCUGUGUCUGCAACGGUGCAGCUCCAGCCAGCCGGCCUGUGGCCAACAAGAGGGCCAUUCAUGAAUCCGCAUGAUUUUGAGGCAGAGUGAUGUGGCCCAUGGGAAGAGCCCCGGGACUGGGGCCAGCAGACCCAAGUUCAAGUCCCACCUCUCCCGGUGGAGGGCACGGAUCACCUUUCCUCGGCUCUCUUUCCCUUUCCCAUCUUGCAGCUUUGACCUGCCUCCCCCACCCUCCUGAGGCCUCACUGCACCCUGGGCCUCUGUGGCACUGUUUGUGCCAGCCUCUGUGAUCAGCCUUCUCCUUUGCCCUUGCAGGGUCCUCAUCUGAGAGUCCUCCAUGCCCCUCUCUAUACAUUCAGUUCCUCCCAAUAGCACCCACUGUGGCAGCUGCAGUGUGUCGCCACCCAGCUGAUCCCCAGCUGAGCGCUGUCCUGGACCCCAGCUCACAUCCCCCUGCCUCUGCAGCAGUGCCACUUGGUGCUGUGUUCCCAGGAACGCUCGCAGUGUCCACACCUGAGCAUGUUUCUCCCCAAAGAGUCUCCUCUGGUGUGCCGUAUCUUUGUUAAUGGUGUUGACUAGACAGACAAGCCCAACACUUCAAGAGUCAGCUGUUGGGUCCUCCAUCUCUGUUGCUGGAAAUUUUUUCGUGACUCCCCGUUGCCCACUGAAUGAAAUCCGGGCUCUUUGGACUUUUCCCUAACUUCUUAUUUUCCUCCACUAAUUUCCCUGCGUGUAUCCUACAAUUACUCAAAUAAUUACUUACUUUCAGGUCUCUGCCCCUAGAGAACAGGGGUUUUCAACAUUUACAUUUUGAGACAGGUAGUUCUUUGUGAUGGGGGGCUCUUUUGUGUAUUGUAGGAUGUUUAGCAGCACCCCUACCCUCUACCCAGCAGCAUCACCUCCUUAGUUGUGACAAUUAAAAAUGUCUCCAGACAUAGUCUAAAGUUCCCCUGGGAGACAAAAUUGCCUCCUGUUGAGAACCACUGAUGGAGAUUCAUGUUUUACGUGCAUGGAAAACCCUCUCCCU